GACGAACGCUUGCGGCGUGCUUAAUACAUGCAAGUCGAACGGAAAGGCCCUGCUUUUGUGGGGUGCUCGAGUGGCGAACGGGUGAGUAACACGUGAGUAACCUGCCCUUGACUUUGGGAUAACUUCAGGAAACUGGGGCUAAUACCGGAUAGGAGCUCCUGCUGCAUGGUGGGGGUUGGAAAGUUUCGGCGGUUGGGGAUGGACUCGCGGCUUAUCAGCUUGUUGGUGGGGUAGUGGCUUACCAAGGCUUUGACGGGUAGCCGGCCUGAGAGGGUGACCGGCCACAUUGGGACUGAGAUACGGCCCAGACUCCUACGGGAGGCAGCAGUGGGGAAUAUUGCACAAUGGGCGGAAGCCUGAUGCAGCAACGCCGCGUGCGGGAUGACGGCCUUCGGGUUGUAAACCGCUUUCGCCUGUGACGAAGCGUGAGUGACGGUAAUGGGUAAAGAAGCACCGGCUAACUACGUGCCAGCAGCCGCGGUGAUACGUAGGGUGCGAGCGUUGUCCGGAUUUAUUGGGCGUAAAGGGCUCGUAGGUGGUUGAUCGCGUCGGAAGUGUAAUCUUGGGGCUUAACCCUGAGUGUGCUUUCGAUACGGGUUGACUUGAGGAAGGUAGGGGAGAAUGGAAUUCCUGGUGGAGCGGUGGAAUGCGCAGAUAUCAGGAGGAACACCAGUGGCGAAGGCGGUUCUCUGGGCCUUUCCUGACGCUGAGGAGCGAAAGCGUGGGGAGCGAACAGGCUUAGAUACCCUGGUAGUCCACGCUGUAAACGGUGGGUACUAGGUGUGGGGUCCAUUCCACGGGUUCCGUGCCGUAGCUAACGCUUUAAGUACCCCGCCUGGGGAGUACGGCCGCAAGGCUAAAACUCAAAGGAAUUGACGGGGCCCCGCACAAGCGGCGGAGCAUGCGGAUUAAUUCGAUGCAACGCGUAGAACCUUACCUGGGUUUGACAUGGAUCGGGAGUGCUCAGAGAUGGGUGUGCCUCUUUUGGGGUCGGUUCACAGGUGGUGCAUGCCUGUCGUCAGCUCGUGUCGUGAGAUGUUGGGUUAAGUCCCGCAACGAGCGCAACCCUUGUUCACUGUUGCCAGCACGUUAUGGUGGGGACUCAGUGGAGACCGCCGGGGUCAACUCGGAGGAAGGUGGGGAUGACGUCAAGUCCUCAUGCCCCUUAUGUCCAGGGCUUCACGCAUGCUACAAUGGCUGGUACAGAGAGUGGCGAGCCUGUGAGGGUGAGCGAAUCUCGGAAAGCCGGUCUCAGUUCGGAUUGGGGUCUGCAACUCGACCUCAUGAAGUCGGAGUCGCUAGUAAUCGCAGAUCAGCAACGCUGCGGUGAAUACGUUCCCGGG
rnacentral:rRNA from 1 species